ACUAUCAUAAGUCAUAGGUCAAUUUUGUUGUAAACUAGUGUUAUUAUUAGUAACGAAAUCAAUAGUUCAAUAGUCUAAAAUGCGGUGAAUAGGAGGAACAAAUUUAUUUGUUUUAAAAAACUAUGUUUUAUCAAUUUCCUAUGAAUCCCAAACGUCAUUCAGAGAAUUGGAUAUUACGAAUGAAAAACCCCAAUGUUUUAUUGUAGAUAAUUCGUUAUAAUAUAAAAGAAUUUUUUUGAAAAAAAUUAGUUUUUUUAAAUUUUAUCGGAGUUUUGUUAGCAAAUUUAAGGUAUUUUUGGAGUUAAAUCAUAGCAGCAAAAAAGGUUUUCUUCAUUAUGGAGUCCUUGAAUUAUAUUACUACAUUUAUAAAUGUAUUAUUUUUCACAACUGCUUUUUCUGGUUGUAGUAGUGAUAUAUUUGUAAACAACAAGUUUUAUAUGCUAUCAACUGAUAACAAUGCAAUUGUACAUCCGUCUUAUAACAUUGAUAUAGACAAAUAUAGCUUACACGGAUAUAUCUGUGUUAUAUCCGGUUUAAAUACAGUCCGAACUCAUUUUAAUAUAAAUGAUAAAGUAUUGUUUGAUUUAAAAGAAUAUAACCUAAGUAAUUCUGAUUUUUUAAAGUUAUUUACUUCCUCCUAUAUAGGUGGUGACUUUCCAUCAAUUAAUAUUAAAGCAUUAUCUUUUAAAGAAUUAAGAUCUAACGGCGACUUUAAACUUAAUAGCAGUACAUAUGAUUGUAUUAUUAACUAUCAUAGAUUUAUGAUGAAUUUUUGCUUCACAAAAUAUAUUGUCGGAUCUAGAUAUUCAUAUGAGUGCAAAAAACUCUUCGUUAAUUUUCCUUCUACAAAUGAUGGCAACUAUUUUCAGGUUCUCACUAAUCGAUCAUCAGUUGAUAGUUGGUGUUGUCCCUAAAAUUUUUACUAGAAAUCAUUAUCAUUAAACUGUGAAAGUUUUUCUAAUAUUUGUGUAAGAACAAAGUUAUAAAACAAUUAUUUGUCAAUAAUUAAUAAUGCAAAAUAUUAUAAUAAAUAAAUGUAUUCACUAUUU